rnacentral:rRNA from 1 species
GGGGGGGGGGGGGGGGGGGGUGGGGCCACGCGAGGCGAAGGGAGGGGCCGCGCGGGGGGGGGGGGCUGGAGAGGCGGGCGGGGGUGAGCCGUGUGAGACUCCGGCCCACGACUAUGGGGUUACCUGUGGGCGCGGGGGCCAAUACCGGAUCGGCGCUCCUGCUCAAUGGUGGGGCGAGGAAAGUCUCGGCGGUUGGGGAGGGACUCGCGGCUUAUCAGCUUGUUGGCGGGGUAGUGGCUUACCAAGGCUUUGAGGGGUAGCCGGCCGGAGAGGGUGACCGGCGACACUGGGACUGAGAAACGGCCCAGACUCCUACGGGAGGAAGCAGUGGGGAAUAUUGCACAAUGGGCGGAAGCGUGAUGCAGCAGCGCCGCGUGCGGGAUGACGGCUUUCGGGUUGUAAACCGCUUUCGCCUGUGACGAAGCGGGAGUGACGGUAAUGGGUAAAGAAGCACCGGCUAACUACGUG